UACGUAGGGUGCGAGCGUUGUCCGGAUUUAUUGGGCGUAAAGGGCUCGUAGGUGGUUGAUCGCGUCGGAAGUGUAAUCUUGGGGCUUAACCCUGAGCGUGCUUUCGAUACGGGUUGACUUGAGGAAGGUAGGGGAGAAUGGAAUUCCUGGUGGAGCGGUGGAAUGCGCAGAUAUCAGGAGGAACACCAGUGGCGAAGGCGGUUCUCUGGGCCUUUCCUGACGCUGAGGAGCGAAAGCGUGGGGAGCGAACAGGA
rnacentral:misc_RNA from 1 species